rnacentral:rRNA from 1 species
CUACGGGUGGCAGCAGUGAGGAAUAUUGCACAAUGGGGGGAACCCUGAUGCAGCAACGCCGCGUGGAGGAUGACGCAUUUCGGUGUGUAAACUCCUUUUAUAUGUCAAGAAAAUGACGGUAGCAUAUGAAUAAGCACCGGCUAACUCCGUGCCAGCAGCCGCGGUAAUACGGAGGGUGCAAGCGUUACUCGGAAUCACUGGGCGUAAAGGACGCGUAGGCGGGUUGGAAAGUCAGGUGUGAAAUCCUACAGCUUAACUGUAGAACUGCACUUGAAACUUCUAAUCUAGAGUAUGGGAGGGGGAGAUGGAAUUAGUGGUGUAGGGGUAUAAUCCGUAGAUAUCACUAGGAAUACCUAAAGCGAAGGCGAUCUCCUGGAACAUUACUGACGCUAAGGCGUGAAAGCGUGGGGAGCAAACAGGAUUAGAACCCGUGUAGUC